ACGUUGAAACACCAUUUCCCGUACGAUCUUCGAAGUUAAUCAACAUCGAGCCUGGUCAGUACCUAGAUGAGUGACCACUUGGGUGUAUCAGGUGCUGU